AUCGAGCUGACGAGUCCAAAACAGGACGAAGUUCGUGUCCUCAAU
rfam:Schistosoma haematobium scaffold278_29, whole genome shotgun sequence.